ACAGAUGUAACUGAGGCACUGAAUAAUCAACAUAUCGAAGCCAAUUCCUAUGACGGCAAGAGGGGGAACCAGCAGAGAUGACUGACCGUGGAGGAUAAGAGCAUUCUUCUGACAAGUUUUAGCAUGGACUAUCCUCAGGAAAAUGAGAUCCAGGAAGAGUGACGCCCUCCUCGAACUGAAAGAUACUCAGGCUGAUGGAGUCAGGGAGGAAGUGGUUUAUCAACAGCACAGGAUGUGUGCAGGGAACAGAACUUUUUCAGACAUGCCCCAGAUUGUCUGCCCAUGGGGACUGAGGUACCUCUGAGAUUUACAGCAGAGAGGAAGGAGAGGCUGUUUCUACAGGUGCCACAGAAAAAUCGAUGCUGAGCCACGGAUUAUUGGAUCUCAUAGAACCGUGGAGACUUGGCAGUGAAAUUCUUCCAAAGGCAGAGGUGUUCCUGGUUUGGGAAGUAUAAAUCCCGUGGGAAGUCAACUGGAGGACAUUUUACGCAUCACUCAUCCUAUUAUGAGCCUGCUGCUCCUUCCUCUCUUGACAAGGCCACCAACUAGAAGGGCACAGAAUUGUUCAUAAAACAGCUGAAUGUGAACAUCUUUGGAUUCCCAUUUAAUGAAGUAAGGUUUUAUAAUGUGCUAUAAAAGUGCAUUGAUAUCUUCCCUGUCCAUCAUGCCUCAUGUGUGUUGUCUGAACUGUGACUCCUUUGAAAUGCUUAGAGUUAGUCCAUUGGAUCAUUAUGUCUGUAUAUAAAUCAAAUUAUCAUCAUUCCUUUCCACCUUCUUUAGCUUGUAUAACUCAAAAUAUAAUUCGAAGUAUAAACAUAAAGUGUAAAUGGUAUACAUUAUAGUGCUUUACGGCAAAGGACAUAUUCUUACUCUUUGUUGAGGUUUAAUGACUGGUGUAUGAGUUCUUCAAAGUGAGCAAACCAAAGGCAAUGGCAUCCUUUCCAAUGCUCCGAGGUUAAAGCUGAAAAUAGAGAGUUUGUGAUGAGUGAUAACCGUGUGUAACACUGUCUCAAUAAUGGGGUGUCUUAAUGAGAUGACUGAAAAGUACAACCGCCAAGGCUGAGAUGGUGCAAAAGCUAGGUGUGGGUACAGUUCCCGGUGCCUGUGCACACCAUUCAGAAUGUGCUAGUAUCUAGCUCUCUUCAUUUGGCAUGCCAGUUGUAUAGACCAAAAUGAAAACAUUUUUUCCAACCUAUCAAGAACACUAAAUUGGAAUCUCUCAUAAGAUACUGAAUAUUUGCUAUUUAUAUGUAACCUGUAUGAUGCAGCCAUUUUCAUUCUAGACUAAGCAAGACCGAUAGGGUUUUCAAGGUGCAUAUUUCCUAGGUGAUUUGGGGGAAGUGGCAUUUCAUUGAGGUAUACUUAUCUUUCGUGUCCAAGCUGUCUGAGAUGCCAACACCGCAGAGCACAAUAUCUUUGAGUUGGAAACAUGUCAUUUGCUUGUGUCUCGUCAUCCUUUGGGGUUUUUCUAGACUCCCUGCCUCUUCUGUUUCUCAUCGAUGCUUCCAUUGUAUUCCAGUUGGCAGCUAAAGGACAGGAGCAGCAAUAAGGCUUCCUGGCUACAUUUUCAUGGUGCCACCAACUGCGAGUUAAGCUGACAAACAUUUUGAGAGCUCGGCCCAUUUCAUUCCCAGCAGGAUGGCAGGAGUUAACUAAAACAGAAUAAACUAAAAAUUGUGCCUUCAUUGCACAUUUGCACUGAUUAUCAGCACUGAAAAUGGCUAAGUUCUGCUCAUCAAGGUUAUGCUUCACAUCACCCACCAGGGAGGAUCAUCUCUCAUGAAAACUUUCAAAUUUGAUUUUGAAAAUUUAUUCAGAAAAAUUUAAGCCACGCUCUUUCCCAACACAGGAAAUAAUAUGCUCCAGAGAAUCCUCUAAUUCACCGAAAAUGGACUUGGAUAACAUUUGGGUUUUCAUACUACCACAGUCCUCUUGAGAAGGACAGCCAGGCUUGGGUGGCAGUGGUGGGGAAGGUUCCUUUCUGUCAAGGGAGCUGAUGCCUUAAGGAAGCUAUCUCCAGAUAAAGGGAGAUUUGAGGGAAGAAACCAACGAAAGAUACCAUGUACCAGAAAACCAAGCAGGAUUUUGACAUUUAUAACCAUAAUCUCUAUAAACAAGAUGAAUCAUGGCUGGGGAUUCAGUUAGUAAAUCAACGAAAAUAAAUCCUGUGCAUAAUUCAAAGAUAACCCAAGUAAGAACAGAAAGUUGUGUGUCAUAGUUACUGGCAUCUAUCCGGUGCUUCUGAACCAUGAACCACAUGACCUGAUUAAAGAGGUUGCUGUGAGUGUGUUGUACUCUUCGUGAACUAAAUUCCAUGAUGACAGAAAACAAACCUGAAAACAAGAGUUAUUUCACAACUCUAGAGCUCCACAGAGUCUGCUGCAAUUGGUUGAGUUGAGGUGAAUUUUCAGUGGCCCUGGCUCAGUGUAGAAGGGCAGGAACAUUGGCUCAGCACAGCCCCAGGCUGUGCAGCAUUCAAUGUGACUUGGGACUGGCCUUCCUGGCUCAGCCUUGCCGGUGAAACAUGGAUUGGAAGAUUUGAAUGUUGGAGAAAUAAACAAGUCUUGGUUGGAGUCCCAGUUUCAAUAGUCACAUAUUUUCAAACCUAGACAAAUAUUCUGGUCUCAUCUCCUCAUUUGGUUUAUUUCAAUCCUCGGAGAGAACUGAAUAGGACAAUGUAUUUCUUUGGAUGUUCAACAUAGUGUUUAACUAAUGGGUGCUAUUUGAAAUAUUAUCAUCUAUUAUCAUUGCUAUUCUAAUAAAGAUGAUACUUGCUAUAAGUAUUAUUGAGGAAAAAAACUUGGAAGUGUUCUUGAACAACACAAACAGUACAAAAUGGUAGAUAUUAAACACCCUUUUUUUUGCACGUAAAACUAUAAAAAUAAAAAUGUAGAAAAUUUUGU
rnacentral:lncRNA from 1 species